CCUACGGGGUGCAGCAGUGGGGAAUAUUGGGCAAUGGGCGCAAGCCUGACCCAGCAACGCCGCGUGAAGGAAGAAGGCUUUCGGGUUGUAAACUUCUUUUCUGAGGGACGAAGAAAGUGACGGUACCUCAGGAAUAAGCCACGGCUAACUACGUGCAAGCAGCCGCGGUAAUAUGUAGGUCGCAAGUGAUAUCCGGAUUUAUUGGGUGUAAAGGGCGUGUAGGCGGGAAAGCAAGUCAGAUGUGAAAACUCAGGGCUCAACCCUGAGCCUGCUGUGGGCAGUGUGUGUCUUGAGUGCUGGAGAGGCAGUCGGAAUUCCGAGUGUAGCGGUGAAAUGCGUAGAUAUACGGAGGAACACCAGUGGCGAAGGCGGAUUGCUGGACAGUAACUGACGCUGAGGCGCGAAAGCGUGGGGAGCAAACAGGAUUAGAUACCCGUGUAGUC
rnacentral:rRNA from 1 species